rnacentral:lncRNA from 1 species
GGCCAGACAAUUAUUGUAAAUUGAGCUGCAAUUAACAUAUAGGAAAAUAAGGCUCAAAUAAGAGGGGAUUUCACAUAAUGGUUUGAAAGUAAACAAAGUUUGAAAGAAUGAUUAAAAAUGAUGACUUUUAAAAGAAGUAGGUUAAAUGCUAAAAGAAAAGAAAUAAAGAACAAAGGGAAGGGGUCCUAGGUUUAUUAAAAAUAUGGAUCACCCCACACAAUCUCUGGUAAUCACUACUCAAUGAGGGGCUACACGUGACAUUAUUGCGUGGUCAUCAUAUCUAUAUCUACCCUUCCCACCCUGUUAAGGUAUUUAAAGCACAGAUUGGUCUCGAUUACAUAUUGCAUGUCAUUAUCUAUCCCACUCCUAUCAGUCCCGGAGGCACUUUGGACAACUAAUUCUAAGAAGGGAGGGAUAUUAGGAUUAUGUGAAGUUUUAAAGGUAAAAAUUCUAAAGCGACAUACAAAAACACAUAUUCAUGUUAAAGGAAAUAUAUGAACAAACAAAUGCUCAAAUAUUCCUCCUUAAACAAAGAAUGCAUGUAAUUAGCAUGUCUAAUCACUUCUCAAUGAGGGGCUACAUGUGACAUUAUCGUAUGGUCAUCAUAUCCAUAUCUACCCAUCCCAUCCUGUUACAGUAUUAUAGCGAGGAUUGGUAUCGAUUACUUAUUGCAUGCUAUUACCCGUCCCACUCUUAUCAGUACCGGAGGGACUUAGGACUAUUAAGCUUAAGGGAGGGAUUUUAGAUUUCUUUGAGGUUUCAAAAGGUAAAACUCUAAGGCGACAUACAAAAAUAUAUAUUGCACAAUUUUAGGGAGGCAUAUAAACAAACAGCGGCUCAGGUAUACCUCCUUGAACAGAAAAACAUAUAAUUAGCAUGACUUUCACAUACUUUUUAGUCUGAACAAAAUUAAAGAUGAGUGAGUUUAAAUGUGAGGCAGACUAGUUUAUUACAUAAUUCAUAUAAGAAGCCCAAAUCACGCCUGUGUGCUGCUUGUAAUAAUUUACAGAUUCAUUUUUAAUUAUUACUCUAACGCUUGCCUAAGUGUUAAGACGGGGUCCUAUAGGCAUGAUAACUACUAAAUUAAGAAAGCAAUAAGACAUUAAAACUCGAAACAAAUUAUUUGAAAUCCUAUAUGCACACUUGUUAAACUAGUUAAGUGAAAGACUCGAUUAUUAAAAGAGAAGUACAAAUUAAACGAAUUGAUUACAAGUUCUACAACUGAUGAUAUCCAUUAUUACUGAUUCUUAGAUGGACUCAGAUUAUUAAAAGAGAAGUAGAAAUUAAAUGAAUUGAUUACACGUUCUGCAACUGAUGAUAUCCAUUAUUACUGAUUCUUAGAUCUGGCACUGAGUGAAGUGAAUCAUGUUGAUUUAGAAACUCUUAUAGGUAUGUUCUCUAUGUGUUGCUAAUUUUAGACACUUAUAGACAUAGCAUCUGGGUGCAUAACUUGUUUUACACCUUAUGAGCAUGAUAUUUUAAUGCAACACUUGUCUUAAAAAUUAUAAGCAUGAUAUCUGAAUGCAGAACUUAUUUUAAAACUUAUAAAUAUGGUAUCUAAAUGUUGUUUGAAUUAUGCAGAAUUAUAGAACCCUAUAUGCAUGAUUUCUAGGUGGUAGUUUGAAUAUGUAGAAUUAUAACAUCACUACAGGCAUGAUUUCUACAUGUAUUGAGUGUGAAAAAUUAGAAUUGACCUAUAGGCAUGAUUUUUAGCCUUUGCAUGCAUAGUUAUCUACCAUGUUUUCAUAGCCAACCCCCAAGAGUUUAUUACAACCCAAAAAUAAAUUACAUAAAAAAGUAUAAAGGAAAUUACAACCAAAAGAAAGCCUGAUUCUGACUUCCUAUUUGAACUAUGAGAUAGACCAACUCAAAGACCACUGAUCCAAAGCCUUUGUCCAAUUUGAGUGUGUCAGAGUUCCCUAAGAGCCUCAAUAGGACUCCAGCACGUGCUCACACCUAAAUUGCAUCACCAGAAUAGGGACAAGCACAGCGUGGAAGGUACAACUCUCAAGUGUCCAAGUUAGAGGGAGCUCAAUGGGUCUCAAGGCAAGGAUCACAAGAGGGGAGCAUAACUUAAAGUCUAAGAGAGAGUGCAAGUGAAGAAACAUAAUUUUAAAGAAUUAAGAAAGUAAAGAAGAGGGGGAGAUGUGCUGGGAAGCAACCAUAAAAAAGUCAUACAAAGGGUUCAGGGGUUGGGGAAAUUGCAUUAGCUAAUUUUAGAUAUGCACAACAAUAGAGAGUGUUGUUAUGCUCACAGAAUCAACAAGAAUACACAUCAUAUGAUAGUGACAUAGAGGUUAUGAUUCCAGGGGAAUCAAGUUUGAGCCAUAGACAACAAUACUCAAUACUGUCAUCCCUCCAACAAAUCAUUAGCAUCAAACACAUUGGGGUAGGGGGUUUGUGAUUCAUAAUAUGAGGAACUUAUAACAUGCUAGAGUAAACACUGAACUAAACACAAGCAGUAGGCAGACAUGCAAGAAAAUGUAUUAAGUAAACACAUUGUUUGUGAUUGGUAAAAAUCUUUAUCAGGACAUACCAGUUUCAAGGAAGCAAAAUACAGUAAAAAAGCAGUAGCAGGGCUUGAGAAACAGGCCACAGUACAAGUAAUAAGAGAGAAUGCCUUUUGAAUGUGAGUGUGAGUUCAAAAAACUAAGAGCGUUCAUGUGUGUUUGUGUCAAUGAAAUAGCAUGGUAUUUAUAGUUUGAAAAUAGGUAGAAAGCAAAGUAAGAAAAUAAUUAUGAAACUACAUAUCAAUUUAAAAUCAAUCAGUAUCAAAGACUUUCUUUAAUCAAUGAGUUAAAACCAAAGGGUAGUGGACAUAAGACUUUUAAGGAAAGGAAUCAAGUAAGCAUCUUGUGCAAAGUAGCAAUUAGGGGUAAGUACAUAGAGGUUUAAUUAAGGGAAGAAUCUUUGAAAUACUCGGUUAACCAAAUAAGGUAAGAAACACAAUAAGUUUGUAGAAUAUGGAGACAAUCAACACAUAGUAAAUCAAAGAGUCAGGAAUUUAAAAUUACUGAUUUGGGGAGAAUGACAUGGGCUCCCAUGAAUAAGCAAAUAAACCAAGAAAAGACAAGAUAAUCGAAAGCCUAAAGGGAGGUUUUCAAAUCAAUCCAAGAAACAUGGAAAUCAAUAAAACAAGGAAAGAACUAAUUAAUUAACACAUGAGUGCAAUUAAAAUUACACAAGGAGUAAUUUGAAAUCAGUCCACAAUUAAAGGUAUAAGGUAAAGUUGUAGAACAUAGAAGCAAUCAGUACGUACUAAAUCAAGGAAAAUUACUGAUUCAUGAAUAAACAAAAAAACCGAGUCAGAAAUAGGAGAAUUGAAAAGCUAAGGAAAGCUUUCAAAUCAAUCCAAGAAACAGGGAAAUCAGUAAGGUGAAACAAGGAAAGAGGCAAUCACUUAACACUUGAAUGCAAUCACAGUUACACAAGGAGGCCUAAAACCAAUCCCCAAAUUGAGGGUCAUUUCAUAGGGAAAUCAACAUGUAAAAGAGUUCAUAGGUAUUAGGCAUGCAAGGAUGAAUUUAAUACAAAGAGAAGUGUCAUGCAAUCACCAAAUCAGUAAGUAAUGUACUAUGAAAACAUGGUAGUCACAUAUGUCAAAUCCUUGUAACUCAGUAAUAGAGAAAAGAGAGUAUCAAAUAGCAUGCAAAGGGUUCAAGUAAAAACUCCUUUCUGUAAAUAUAGUCGAGUUCCAAUGAUAGUAGGAAAUCGAACUCACAUAAAGCAACAGAAGUUGAAACAAAGAUCUCGAAAUCUAGUCGAGGAACAUAUGAAACAACCUUAGAAACUCAAUUAGGUCAAAAGAAAUUAGGGUUAUGAAACCGAACAAGUUCAGGGAUGAGGAACAAGAAAAUCACAUAGCAAAUAAUCACAAAACUCGAAUGAACCCCAUAUUUUAGGGUUUUCACCAUCAAUCGAGUAUAGAGAUGAAAGACAAGAGAAUCACAUAGCAAAUAGUCUUCAAAAUCGAAUAAACCCCAAAUUUUUGGAUUUUCACCAUCAAUCGAGUUAUAGAGAUAAAACCAAUUGAAUUAGACAAACAUUUUAACAAAUAGAUUCAGGAAUUUCAAAAGGUUAAGACCCUUAACAUGCAAACUCAAAUAGACCGAUGACAUAAGAGAACACGAUAAAACGUGUUAAAAAUUAGAGAAAACUUCAAAAGAUAACUUAACGAACCCUAAGCCAUAGAACUGAAAGCAUCCGAGGUCUAGACCAAGCUUCUUCAAGGUCUGGCCUUGAAAGCAUAUCACUCAAACAUAUAUGAGUCAUAGGAGGCAGAUGUAUGCCUUUAAUGGCUUUGGAAGCUAUUGAUUCGGGCGAUUUUAGGGUGGAAGUGGAGGGAGGCAGCUAGGGUUUCUGAGAGAGAAUUGGGUGAAGGGGAGAUUCAAGGGCGGCUAUCGGUGAGAAGUGAUUGGGUUUUGGGGUAAUAGGAAUUUAAAAAGGAAAAGUUAAAUUGUGGCCGUUGAUCAUUUUGAUUAACGACUUGGAUUGAAUGGUUAUUCGGGUGGGUUAUUAUAAAAGGGUUGUGGCUCGGGUAGAAUAGGGUUUGGGUGAGGGUAAUUGGGCCUCAGGCUGGGUUACAUUGAGGUGCCAAAUCUGGCCAAAAUUGAAAUACAAAUGGGCUACCAUUUAAAUAGCCACUUUUUUCCUUAUUUAUUUUAUAAAAGCUAGUAAAAUAAAUUUAGAAAUAAAUUAAAAGUACUAAAAUGGUUAAUAAUACAUAAUUAUUAAAUUAAAAUAUUGGGGUUAAUUUUAUAUAUACUAACACAAUUAAAUCUUAAAAGAGGCUAAUAUUGCAAGUAUAUGCAGUUUAGUUUUUAAAACACUAAACAAAUUUACAAAAAUAUGAAAAAUUAUGUUAGCUAUAUUUAAAAUAAAUAUGAGAAUUCAAUAAAUGAAUCACCAAAAUGAUAAUUUUGGAGAUAAUUAUUGGGUUUGUCCUUGAUAAAAUAGGGCAAUAAAUUGAUUAAAAAUCUUUAAAAAUUAAGAAAAAAAUAAUAAAACCUUAGGACAUGCUUAUAUAUGAAGAUACAUGCUAUUUUGAAAGUAUUUUGUAUGUUAAAAUUUACAGGAAAAUAUUGGGUAUCAAAAACUUUGUGUAGGUAAAAUACCCUUUAGGAUUUGAGUCGUUUGUUUUAUUUGUGUUAUGUGAAAGCCGUGUACGUGAGGUGACGAUGACUCGGCUUAUAUGUGCAAAAUUGACUAGCGUAGAUUCUUAGGCUUCUUUCAUGUACUUAUUUGGAAUUGUUAUAUCUUUUAUUUGUCAUGUCUACUAUCACAUGUUUUAUUUGAAGUUGUCGUUACAUGUCACAUUCUUUACUUGUCGAGUUUGCUUAUAUAUGCUUUAUUUGAAGUUGUUAUCACUUUUAUCAUCAUGCGAUUUCUUUUAUUGUGGAGUUACUCUUAGUUUAGAUUGUUGUUACAUGAUGUCCUUUUGUUGCCGGUUUAGUUCGUGCCAUCUCUUUCGUUGUUAGCCUAUUCAUACACUAGAAUCCGAAGUUUGCCAUUUCACAGAAAUAAUUUCACUAUUGAGUUUAUCCUUAAACAAUUAAUUGAGGUUAUUGCUUUUAAUUGAAGUUGUGUUUAAAGGGGAUGUUGUUCCUUAUUGAGUUACUUUCCCGUCAUUUUGUUUAUUGAGAUUCUAUAAACAUUUUGUUGAGCCCUGGGCUAUUUGUUAUGAAAAUAUUGACAUUGUUGGAUCUUUAGAAAGGUUUUGGUCUAUUGACACUUGUGAUACAAGUUGAUAUGUCAUGUUGUUGUGAUAUUAGCACAUGUGAAUUAUUGUGUGGUUUGGUUGUUGUUAUGAAGAGUAUAAGGGUGGCAUUUUACUGUUGUCGUUAUAUUGGGAAUAAGGGUGGCAUAUCAUUAUUGUUAAAUGUAUGAAGUGAUUAAGGGUGGCUAUUAUUCUAUUGUCCGGGUGGCUAAUGAUAUUGCCAGGGCGGAGUGAUACGGGUGGCUAUCGGGGAGAUAAGGGUGGGAAUGUCAGGGAUGAUGUGUGAUGGCUUGGGGACAUUGUGUUGGUGAUUUUUAUGUGAUGGUGUACUUUUCCUUAUUUAUGUUAUACACCUUACGUGAUUUGUUGUGUUACUUUGAUAAGCUACUCGAUGUCUUUGAUAUUACUUGUUGACUUGGACUACAGUAGUAAACUUGCACAAGCAUACACCGUAGCAUGGCACUUAUACUAGCUCUGGAGUAUGAAACAUGACUUUUGAUAAUCAUGCCCAUGUGUCAGUUUUCAUGUUGAUAUUGAGCUUGUGACCACGCCGGGCGAAUUGUGAUUAUGAGCCUUGUGACCAUGCCGGGCGGAUUGUCAAUGUGAGCUCGUGAUCAUGUUGGGUGGAUUGAGAUAUUGGAAUCUGAGUUGUCUGUGUGGUUGUGCUUGAAAUGCGAGAAUAAGUUGUCGUGAGCAUAUGAUGGUGGGUUGAGACCCGUGACUUGUGAUUAUGAUAUGAGAUAUCACAGAGUGAUCUCAUUGAGAAACUAGGGUUAGAACGACUUGAUUAAUUUGUUUUCCUUUGUGUUUCAUAUUUUUUUUAACGAUACUUUACAAUGUUCUUAUUGUUUUACUUUUUAUAUCACUUGUUGAUUCGUGUUGCCAUAUACUUAUUUGUGCUUUCAUUAUUAGCUUUAUAAUUCUAUACUGCACAAAUUGUUUUGUCUACUUCUGCAAGAGGUCGGGGCCGAGGUAGAGGCUGGGGAGGAGCACACGCUGUAGCUAGAGAACCUGCUAGAGUAAUAGUUGAGGAGUCGCCAGUAACUUCAGUUGGGGGACAAGCACUUGUUGUUACCUCCGGUUUCAGUAGACUUUAGUGCAGUUCCUGAGCUUGUUUGGUAAAUUGGCUCAUCUAGGAUUGAUCUCCGUUCCACUAGCUACUUUGCAGAUUAGGAGAGGAGCUUGGACUCUCACCGUCCGUACUCCAGAGCAACGAGCUCACAUUAUUCAGGUUCCGUGUGUGUUGUCGGUACAACCUGUUAUUUUGGUUCAGCCUAAUGUCAAGCCAGGGGCAUCAGAAGAAGAGAAAAAGAGGCUUGAGAUGUUCAUGAGGUAUAGUCCACCUACUUUCAGUGAAACAGCUAUCGGGGAUGCACAAGAAUUUCUAAAGAAGUGUCACCGUAUUCUCCGCACCAUGGGUAUUGAGGAGGUGAACGGAGUUGCUUUUACAAUAUUUUAUCUGUCGGGAGCAACAUAUCAGUGGUCGCAAGUUUAUGAGGUAGAUCCAGCCGAUUCAAAACCACUCACUUGGGCUCAGUUUUCAGAGAUGUUUUUGAGGGAGUUUGUUCCCAGACCCUCCGAGAUGCAUAGCAUAUAAGUUUGAGAAGCUGCAUCAGGGCACCAUGAUGGUGUUAGAUUAUGCCAUCAGGUUCAGUGAGUUAUCCUGUCAUACACCUACUUUGGUUCCUACAAUUAAAGAGCGAGUUCACAGAUUCACUGAGGGACUCAGUUACGAUCUUAGAUUCAGCAUGGCACGGGAGACUGAUACUCCAUUUCAGUAGGUGAUAGAGAUAGCUAGGAUGUUACAGCGUAUUUGGCGUGAAUUAAGGGAGGAUAAAAAGACCAAGAGUUCUCGAGCUUCUGGAGGGUUUAGUGGAUUCUGUUGUUCAUCUAUGACCUAUAAAGGCAAGGCUCGAGUAGUCGGCUAGUCCAGUCUGCACUUGAGACUAUUCAUAUUUCUCAAGUUUGUUCUUUUAGUGUACCACCGGCACAGGGUUCCUACAACUGUAAUUCCAGUUAUCUAACACAGACUCAGUAUGGGCAGCCACACCCAUAGAGGGGUUGUUAUAAGUGUGGUGAUGCUAGGCACAUUAUGAUAGAUUGUCCGAGACUGGGAGGGGCUGAUUUUAUCAAAGCACUCAGGCUACGGGCUCCAUUCCAGGUUCUACUCCACCUGUAUAGCUAGUUAGGGGUGGAGGAUAGGCGGGUACAUAGUGCCCUAUAGGGAGAGGCCCGACCCAUUGAUAUGCUUUCUAUGGUAUGGCUGAGGCCGUUGCACCAAAUGGUGUCGUUAUAAGUAUGUUUUCAAUUUGUUAUUGUUGCAUGUUGUUUUCUCUUAUACGCGGGCGACAACCCUUUUAAAUAGUUAUUAAAAGAGAAAAGUCGCCACCUAACAAACGUUUAAGGUGCGUUAGGGCACAAAUUUUCUAAUCUUUGUUUGACUAGUCAAUACCACCAAAGAUUGGACAAAGGCUUAAAUUACCUCAAAGAAAAGGUGUUAGGCACUCUUCGAGGUCCACAAGUAUAGGUCCCCGCCAAACUUUAGACUGUGGAUUAUGAUACUAGACUAGAUGAUCAAACAAAUAGAAGGGAAAUUUAAAAGUUGUACAGUUUUAUUAAAACAUAUGAGAAUCGGUACAAGUCUUAAUAACUACAAAUAUACAACCUAUAUUGAUCUAUGCUAAAUGACUAAGUGCACAUGAAAAAAUGGGGGAGGGGGGCGGUCCUAAGUUUUUUAGCCUUAAGGAUCAUCCCCUGCAACAUAAAUAAUACUUCGCAACUCCCUUAAGGUAGAGGUUGUUCGUAUUAUUCAGGGGGCACAUACUAUCAUCUCCUGCUACCCGAUUACUAUGUUGAAGUUAUUUACCUAAAGGCGUUCUAGUUCAAUUCUAAGUCGUACCCAAUGCAUAUACUACAUGCCUCAUGCCUACGGUCUAUGAGGCUUUGGACCCACCAUUAGGUGGUUCUAGACUUUACUUAGUUUUAUUAAAAUAUUAAAACUAGUCGACAUUCAAAACAUAUAGGAUUGCAUACAAUAGCAAUAAAAGGCUCAAGUUAACCUCCACACAUAAGCACGAAAGCACGCAAUCAAAGUUCUGGCUAAGCAGUAGACCGAAUUAAGACAUAUUAGUUCAUUAAGUCCUAUAGGCGUGAUUUCUAUAUAAUUCUAUUAUUAUACAGGAAGUACUGUAAUUUCUGGACUAAUGUAUAGGCAGAUUAGAGCGUUACAAGUUCUACAGACGUGAUUUCUGAUCGUUUGUGUUAUAAGGUAGUGAAAUCAAUCCUAGAACACUGAAUUACCAGUGUUUAUUUUAUAGAUAUACAUCUUAGGUAGGUGACAGUACCAUAUAGACAUGAUUUCUAAUAGUCGCAUAAUUAGGUAGUGAAGUCAUUUGAAAACACAUGAUUAGUAGCGUCAAUAAAUACCCUAUAGGAAGGAAUUCUAAUAAUUGACAAUUAGACCUGAUUUUAUAACACUUUAUCCCUAUAGUCAUGCUAUCUAAGUGAGGCAACAAUAUGAAGCAAUUGAUUAAUUAUUAAACCUUAUAGCCAUGGUGUCUAGAUUAGCAAAGGUAUUGCAUUAUUGUAGCAUAUAUGCAUGUUAUCUAAGAGCGUUGAAUAGUACACAUGGAAGGGGGUGUUGUUCCUUGUUGAGUUAAUUUCCCGUUCAUUUUGUUUUUAUUGAGAUUCUAUACACAUUAUGUUGAGCCAUUGGCUAUACGUUGUGAAAAUAUGGAUAUUGUUGGAUCUUUGAAAAGGUUGUGGCAUAUGGGUGCUUGUGAUACUAGUUGAUAUGUAGUGUUAUUGUGAUGUUAGCACAUUUGAAUUGUUGUGUGGUUUCAUUGUUGUUAUGCGGAGUAUAAGGAUUUUAUCAUUGCUGUUGUGUAGGGCAUAAGGGUGGCAUCACUAUUGUUGAAUGUACGGAGUAAUAUGGGUGGCUAUUGUGUUAUUAUUGGGACGAAGCGAUAAGGGUGGCUAUUAUACAAACUGGUACGGGUAGUAGCUAUCGGAAUGAUACAUGUGGCUAAUGAUAUUGUCAGGGUGGAGUGAUACGAAUGGCUAUUAUACGGAGUGAUACAGGUGUCUAUCAGAGCGAUACAUGUGGCUAAUGGUAUUGUCAAGGCAGAGUGAUAUGGGUGGCUAUCGGAUAGAUAAGGGUGGGGAUGUUAGGGACGAUGUGUGAUGUCUUGGGGACAUUAUAUUGGUGAUUUUCAUGUGAUGGUGUGUUUUUCCUUGUGUGUGUCAUGCACCUUAUAUGAUUUUUUGUGUUUCUUCGAUAAGCUACUCGAUGUCUUUGAUAUUACUUGUUGACUUGGGCUACAAUAGCACACUCGCACAAGUAUAUACCGUGCGUGACACUUAUUCUAGCUCAGGAGUAUGAAACUUGAAAUUUAUUAAUCAUGCCCAUGUUUUAUUGUAUUAUCAGUUUUCAUGUUGUUAUUGAACAUGUGACCUUGCCGGGUGAAUUAUGAUUAUUAGUCUGUGAUCAUGCCGGACGGAUUGUGAUUGUGAGCUGGUGAGCACGUCGAGCAGACUGUGAUUGUGCGCCUGUGAGCACUCCGGAUGAAUUGUAAAUGUGAGCACAUGAUCAUGCCGGGCAGAUUGAGAUAUUGGCACGUGAGUUUGCCAUGCAGAUUGUUAUUCGAAAUGUGGGAAUAAGGUUCCAUGAGCAUAGAAUGGUGGGUUGAGACCUGUGAGUUGUAAUUAUGAGAUGAGGUAUUACAGAGUUAUUUUAUUAUGAAACUUGUGUUAGAACGGCUUGAUAAAUUGGUUUUCCUUUGUGUUCCUUAUUUGGUGUUAACGAUACGUCGCAAUGUUCUUAUUUCUUUACUAUAUUACUUGUUGAUUCUUCUCGCCAUUUAUUGAUUUUUACCUUCAUUAUUAGCUUCAUACUUCUAUAUUGCACAAAUUAUGUUGCCUAGUGAGUGUAUUGACUUGUACCUCGUCACUACUCCACCGAGGUUAGUCUUGACACUUACUAGAUACUGACCGUGGUGUACUCAUACUACACUUCUGUAUAUUUUUGUGCAGAGCCAGGUGUUAUAGAUAUUAGACUCGGGCAGAGUAGGCAUACUAGUCACUACGUAGAGCUGCUUGGUCGUCGCAGUCUCGUAGAGGUCUUUCCUUUUAUUGUACUCUCAGCUUGUUAUUUGAACAAUAUUAUAUUUCGAUCUUUGAGAUCUUUCCAUGUACUUAGCUGGAGUUCGUGACUUUGUAUUACCAUAUCUUGUGAGGUUGUUAUGAUUAUUAUUGUGUAGGCUUAUAACACUUUUCUUUCAGUAUUCAUUUUAGACUCUGUUUCAAAUUAUCCUUGUUAAAAGUUUGCCUAAUCGUUGUUACUAAUCAACUUACCUAGUCUUAGAGACUAAGAGACAUCACGACGCCUACGGUGGGUUUUUGGGUCGUGAUAACAAGGUACUAGAUGCCCUAUCAAGAAGGCAAGAAGAUAGGCCUACAUUAUGCUCCAUUACAACUACUAAGCCUACACGGAUGCAAGAGAUAGGUCGAGAAGUGUUGUUUUGUGUUUCAUAUAACUGACACUAGUUGUAUGAGGUUCCUUUUUGUCUCAAAAAUUUAUGGACCCCAAUCUUAUACUUCUGGGUCCACAAAACUGUAAGACAAAAAAGUUGCCUCAUACAACUAAUGUUAGUUGUAUGAGACACAAAAUAAAAAUUUUCGAGAUAGGUCAGAGUUAUGAGCAUGACAUUGUAGUACUACAACACUACAGCUACUGACUGAGCUAAUCACCCUAUGAGCAAUUCAAAAUGUAUGUUACAUCAAGUAAUUAUUCGGUAUGAGUAGAUGAUUUGGGUUGGCAAGGGUAUAGACUUUGAGAACCAAAAUAUUUGUAGCCCUCAAUUAGUCUUCUUUGGGAGGCCAUUCUGGUCAGUUAGGCACCUACAAGAGGAUUAAAAUGGUAUUUUAUUGGCCUAAUAUGAAGACUGAUGUCCUUAAGUGGGUUUCAUAAUGUGACAAUUGUCAAAGAGUUAAGAAUGAGAAUGUACAUUCUCCUAGGUUGUUACAACCCCUUCCCAUCCAUGACAUGCCUUGGCAGGAUAUUGCCACGAAUUUUGUAAAAGGUUUACCUUCUUUAGGGCAGAAGGAUGCUAUUCUUGUGGUGGUUGGCAGGCUAACCAAAUAUGGGCAUUUCCUAGCUUGGAAAAACCUUUUACAGCUGAGGAAGUAGUUGAGUUGUUCCUUAAAGAGAUUUAUAGGCUACCAAAUCUAUUAUAACUAACAGAGAUUCCAUUUUUACUAGUUAAUUCUGGCAACAACUUUUCAAAGUUAUAGGUAGUAAACUCAAUAUGACUACUUCCUAUCUCCCACAGUCAGACGGGCGAACAGAGAGGCUCAAAAAAUGUUUAGAAUCCUACCUCGGAGCUAUGGCCUCUAAUACUCCUCAGAAGUGGCUUAAAUGGCUUCCUUUGACCGAAUGGUGGUACAACACUAAUUACCACAGAGCACCAUAACUUUCACCCUUUCAGGCUCUUUAUGGGUUUCCCCCUCCCCAGAUUCCUAUGGGGUAUUUACCACACCCUACUCACACUGUUUCUAAUGAAGUAAAUAGCAUCAAACAAGUUAGAAUAGAUCCUAUAUCCAAAAGUUACCAAGCAAUAAAGACAUAUGAAAUAUUUUAGAAUAAAAAUAGCCCGCUGGAGCAUGUUUAGCUUUAAGAUAGCAAAUGCUUAUGCAUCUUAAGGACAGUUUGAUGCAAGCUCAAGCAUGAAUGAAAUUUAUGCAGAUCAGAACUGCACAAAAAGUGUUUUGGAGUUCGUAGAUUAGGUGUACCUUAAACUCUAACCAUACAGAAAGCCUGCAGUAGAUGUUAAAAGAAAUCUAAAACUAAGCGCUAAAUAUUAUGGACCUUACAAGAUCUUACAGAAAAUAAGAACAGUAGCAUACCGUUUGGAGCUCCCUCAGGAUCUCAGAUACAUCUAUAGUUCCACGUCUCUCAAUUGAAGAAGAGAGUAGGUCCUACCAUUAGUGUGCAGCAACCGUUGCCUGUGUGUGACUCAGGUGGUCGAAUCUUGAUCUAACCUGUGGAAAUCUUGAGAAGACGACUAGUGAAGGUCAAUAAUGCUGCAAGGGUCAAGGUAUUGGUGUACUGGGAAAAGUUUGACCAAAUAGAGGUAACGUGUGAGGAUUGGGGUUACAUUAAAAGUCAAUUUCUGGAUUUUGUUGCUGGGCUUCAACCUUGAGGACAAGGUAGGUUUCAAUCGGGAAGGUGUUGUAAUGAAUGAGGGUUUGGGGUAGCGUUGAGAAGGAUAAUAGAUGAAUUAGAAAAAGGGCGUGGGCAGCUGAUACACAUGGCAGCUUAUUAGGGAAUAAAGAUCUACAGCUGGAGAUCAACAUAAUUAAUAGGAAGAUGGAGAUUCAAGGAAGAUUAAUAAAGAUUAAAGGCCAAGAUUAUUCCACACUCUAACUAAAUACCGUUAGGGGCAACUAGCUGGGCAGUUAUGAUCUGUAUUUCCAACUUUCUCUUCUCUCUUUGUUUCUCUCUUCUCUUCUAUCUUACAGUCUCAAUUCUCUUUCAGGUACAAUCCACCAU